AGUGAACGCUGGCGGUAGGCCUAACACAUGCAAGUCGAACGGCAGCACAGUAAGAGCUUGCUCUUACGGGUGGCGAGUGGCGGACGGGUGAGGAAUACAUCGGAAUCUACUUUUUCGUGGGGGAUAACGUAGGGAAACUUACGCUAAUACCGCAUACGACCUACGGGUGAAAGCAGGGGAUCUUCGGACCUUGCGCGAUUGAAUGAGCCGCUGUCGGAUUAGCUAGUUGGCUGGGUAAAUGCCCACCAAGGCGAGGAUCCGUAGCUGGUCUGAGAGGAUGGUCGGCCACACUGGAGCUGAGACACGGUCCAGACUCCUACGGGAGGCAGCAGUGGGGAAUAUUGGACAAUGGGCGCAAGCCUGAUCCAGCCAUACCGCGUGGGUGAAGAAGGCCUUCGGGUUGUAAAGCCCUUUUGUUGGGAAAGAAAAGCAGCAGGUUAAUACCCCGCUGUUCUGACGGUACCCAAAGAAUAAGCACCGGCUAACUUCGUG
rnacentral:rRNA from 1 species